GCUUGCCAGUGCCAUGUCAACGGAACGUGAAGAAAGCCUGCUGGGGGAGGACUCAAUGGGAGAGCUGAUUUAGGGUACGAGUUUUCUCAGAAGAAAGAGAGUAUCUUUAUCGAAGUAUGUCCUUGAACCUUCAUCUGGUGAUGGAUGG